GAUACCCUGGUAGUCCACGCCGUAAACGAUGGAUACUAGGUGUGGGAGGUAUUGACCCCUUCCGUGCCGGAGUUAACACAAUAAGUAUCCCACCUGGGGAGUACGGUCGCAAGACUGAAACUCAAAGGAAUUGACGGGGGCCCGCACAAGCAGUGGAUUAUGUGGUUUAAUUCGACGCAACGCGAAGAACCUUACCAGGACUUGACAUCCUACUAACGAAGUAGAGAUACAUCAGGUGCCCUUCGGGGAAAGUAGAGACAGGUGGUGCAUGGUUGUCGUCAGCUCGUGUCGUGAGAUGUUGGGUUAAGUCCCGCAACGAGCGCAACCCCUAUUGUUAGUUGCUACGCAAGAGCACUCUAGCGAGACUGCCGUUGACAAAACGGAGGAAGGCGGGGACGACGUCAAAUCAUCAUGCCCCUUAUGUCCUGGGCUACACACGUAAUACAAUGGUGGUCAACAGAGGGAGGCAAGACUGCGAAGUGGAGCAAAUCCCUAAAAGCCAUCUCAGUUCGGAUUGCAGGCUGCAACUCGCCUGCAUGAAGCUGGAAUUGCUAGUAAUCGCGGAUCAGCAAGCCGCGGUGAAUACGCUCCCGGGCCUUGUACACACCGCCCGUCACACCAUGAGAGUCGGGAACACCCGAAGUCCGUAGUCUAACCGCAAGGGGGGCGCGGCCGAAGGUGGGUCCGGUAAUUGGGGUGAAGUCGUAACAAGGUAAC
rnacentral:rRNA from 1 species